rnacentral:rRNA from 1 species
GACGGAAGGUGCAAACGUUGUUCGGUAUCACUGGGCUUAAAGGGCGCGUAGGCGGCCCGAUAUGUCAGGGGUGUAAUCCCUCGGCCCAACCGAGGAAUUGCCCUUGAAACUGCCGGGCUUGAGGGCUGAAGGGGAGAGCGGAACGUUGCAUGUAGCGGUGAAAUGCGUAGAUAUGCAACGGAAGGCCGGUGGCGAAGGCGGCUCUCUGGUCAGUCCCUGACGCUGAGGCGCGAGAGCCAGGGGAGCGAACGGGAUUAGAUACCCCCGUA